CAUUGCCAUCUCACAAAGACUUGCUACAAACACAGUGCUAUAGAUCACCCAAUAUCUGUUAUACUACAGAUCAUGUUACAUAUGACAUAGUGUUGUAAUAGACUUAUCUCACACCUUGUUGUGCUACAGGCUACAGAUCGGUCAUCUAUCACACAUGUGCUGCAGGUCUUGUGCUCUGUAUCACACACUGUCAUGCUACUAGUAGUGAUAUAUAUCACACACUGUCAUGCUACUUGUAGUGAUAUAUAUCACACACUGUCAUGCUACUAGUAGUGAUAUAUAUCACACACUGUCAUGCUACUAGUAGUGAUAUAUAUCACACCUUGCUAUGCUACAUAGUAGUUAUAUAUAACACCCUGUUAUGCUCCUGAUCAUGUGCUAGAUAUCACAAUUGUUGUCCUACAGAUUGUGUUAUAUAUCACUCUGUUGCUGCAAGCCUGCUGUUAUAUGUCAGAAACUGUCUUGUCACAGAUCAUGUGCUGUAUAUCCCACCACGUUACAGAACAUGUGAUGUAUUACACUCUGUUGUGCCACAUAUCAUGUGUUAUGUAUCACACACUGGCAUGUUACAGAUUGUGUGCUGUAUAUCCACCACGCUACAGCACAUGUGAUGUAUUACACUCUGUUGUGCCACAUAUCAUGUGUUAUGUAUCACACACUUGCAUGUUACAGAUUGUGUGCUGUAUAUCCCUGCGUUACAGCACAUGUGAUGUAUUACACUGUUGUGCCACAUAUCAUGUGUUAUGUAUCACACACUUGCAUGUUACAGAUCAUGUGCUGUAUAUCCCACCACGUUACAGAACAUGUGAUGUAUUACACUCUGUUGUGCCACAUAUCAUGUGUUAUGUAUCACACACUGGCAUGUUACAGAUUGUGUGCUCUAUAUAACACAUUUGCUCCUAACUUGGUGUUUUAUGUCACAUGCAGAUUUGCUGCAGAUCUUGUGUUAUAUAUCGUACAUAGAUUUGAUACAGGGCAUGUUAUCACGACAGUUACAAAUCAUGAUAUUUCUUCAGCAGAUUUCCUAAAGAUUAUGUGUUAUAUAUCACUCAGACUUGCUACAGAUCAUGUGUUAAUCUGUUUUUCUGUUCUUCCCUGAUCUGUUGACAUGGAGUACAAGAGAACUACCUUAUGUAAGAUGUCUUUCAAGUUCAUUUAUGGCAAUACAUACCCACAAGCUUCCCCAUUAGUGCCAGAUUGUCCUGGCCUUGUUAGAUUGAUGAAACAAGUGAGGUGGUCAUGGACCAAUCAGUGAUCUUUUUUCAAGAACUGUCAGGUUUUUUAAAUGAAUGAGAAGUUAUAAGACUUUGUGACUGACAUGUCAGUUUUUGGAUGUGAACAUAGUUGCUGGCUAUAGUCAAACUCAACCUGCUGUCUUAUUUCAUUAUGUACUGAUUCUACAGUUUCUUUGUGUCAAGGUUUGGUAUUAGUGUUGACAUAAUAUGUGUGAUAUUCCUCCGUAUUGUGGAAACAUCCUAGAGUAAUUCUCCUACUCCACCUCUUGAGCUUUGGUCAGUCUAGGAUUGGGUUUAUCUCUUUUUUUCUUCCUCAACUUUUAUCAAGAUGUUUUCAUUUAUUGUUCACAAGUGCCAUUCAUAUUGUUUAUGUAUGUAGAUGUUAGAUGUUGUUCUGUGUAUCAGAUAUGUUGUUCUGUGUAACAGAUAUGUUGUUUAGUUCCCUGUUAUUACUGGCUUCGUUGUCUUCAGCUCCGUUGUUGUAUGUAUGUGAGAGGAAUCUCGACUGACCCCACCCCCUGUAACCAUGUCAGCUUGACGUACCCUUGUGUCAGUCAAGGAUGCAGCUUCUCAUGGUCAAUACAGUCAUUACUGGGCUGGACUGCGGUCGCUACUGGAGAUUUACCAUUUGAAUUAGAUGACAGUGGGACUUUUUUACUUUAAGCAGUAUUAACAUCCCUCUUAAAGGGUGUUGUCUGUCAAUCCUUUUGAGAUAUACUUUGAGUAACUGAGACAUGAGAAAUGUUGUUCCAUGUGAGAUUAUCUUUAUUUUGCCACAAGGCAGAUAAACUUGUACAACAGAAAUGGUCCAUUUUCUCAGAUGAAAGCUGUUGUCUGUAAUUCCGUGAAAGCUAUGUCCUUGUACGCUUGUUCCCUCCACUAGAGCUCAUGGCAUGUCCAUAUUGAAGCUACAAACCAAAUGGCAACAUCACUGCCUAACUCAUGCACUAAGUGGCCAUCAGUCUUCACUUCAGGACGCUUCAGAGCACUUCCUGCUCCAGUCUUGUGUGCACAGGCUUUAUGAAAUCAGUGUCCCAUAUUUGUAGUAUUUUGUGUUGAGCAAAUCCAGGUAGGAAGAUGUUUCAUGUUGCCGAGGGAGUACAAUUAAUAUCAAUCAGCAAUGGUAGAGGAGGUUGGUUCUCACACAUGAACUGACUGUCUUGGUUGUUCCCCGCAUCAUCUGCAUCCACUGCAUCCACAUGUGGAUGUUGUACUGAUGCAGGGAUGCCGACCACCAAGCUGGUCGUACCAUGGAGUGUGUACUGGGACUAGAUAGAAGAUAGUUUGAUGGGUCUUGUACAGUCAUUUGUAUCUACAUGUUAGCUAAUGCAAGGUGCUCAUCCAGAAAUUCCAUCCCAUAAACUUAUUUAUCUAUCAUUUCUUCAUAAUGAGUUGACAGACUAUCUGCCAUCAUUGUACAUUAUGUACAUAGAAAUUGUAUGUAGCCAAUAUCUUUUGUAUAAAAUAUAUACAAUAUC